CCCGCAGGGCUCCGGGCGGCCGUGACCCUGCUGGAGUGCGGGGGGGACCUCCAGCCCCCCGGGGGGCCCCUGACUCUGCUCUGUCACGCCUCCGGGUUCGAUUUUGGGAGUUCCUACAUGGGCUGGGUUCGGCAGAGCCCUGGGAAGGCGCUGGAAACGGUCGCAGAGAUCAGCAGCACCGGUGGCUACACCUAUUACGAGUCAUCGGUGCAGGGUCGGUUCUCGAUCUCCAGGGACAACGGGCAGAGCUCGGUGACGCUGACCAUGAACAACCUCAGGGACGAGGAUUCUGCCGUUUAUUUCUGUGCUAAAUAUGAUGGUGCUUGUUCAGAUUUCACUUGUGUUUUUUACACUUUCUAUGGUUUUGACCUCGUCCCCAUCACCGGGUCCUGCGCUGUCCUUCGGUGA